rnacentral:rRNA from 1 species
GACGAACGCUGGCGGCGUGCCUAAUACAUGCAAGUCGAGCGGACCGAACAGGAGCUUGCUCUUGUUCGGUUAGCGGCGGACGGGUGAGUAACACGUGGAUAACCUGCCUAUAAGACCGGGAUAACUUCGGGAAACCGGAGCUAAUACCGGAUAACAUCUUGGACCGCAUGGUCCAUUGGUGAAAGACGGCUUUGGCUUCACCUUUCGGUUGAUCCGCGCCGCAGUAGCCAGUUGGUUAGGUAACGGCUUCCCAAGGCCACGAUGCGUAGCCGACCUGGGAGGGUGAUCGGCCACACUGGAACUGAGACACGGUCCAGAGUCCUACGGGAGGCAGCAGUAGGGAAUCUUCCGCAAUGGGCGAAAGCCUGACGGAGCAACGCCGCGUGAGUGAUGAAGGUCUUCGGAUCGUAAAACUCUGUUAUUAGGGAAGAACAAAUGUGUAAGUAACUAUGCACGUCUUGACGGUACCUAAUCAGAAAGCCACGGCUAACUACGUG